AUGCCGGUGACUCAGUUAGAAGCAUGCUUCGAAGCUGUCCGUGUCCUUGCCAUCCAGAAGCGGAGCCUGGGAGCUUCCGAAUUUCUCCAGAAUGCGGUUUACAUUCACCUUGACAGAUACCCAGCUUUCCCUGCACCAUUCAUUGAAUAGACUAUUCUUUCAAUGGAGUGUUGUUGGCACCCUUGUUGAAAACUGACUGUAAAUAUAAGGAGACUGAGGAUUAAGUCUUCUCUCUUUUUGGGGGAGCUCAUUAUCAAUGACUGGAAGUUGUAAGGAAAAAGAUAUUGAUUCAUCCUGAGAAAACAUUUUUCUGAGAGUCAGCAUUGAAGAGGGUGACCACUGAAGAGGGUGAUCAUUGUUCGAGUGAGACGAGCCCCGUGUUGUACGGAGUCAGCAUCCCAGUCCUGGACACGGCACUGUGCUGCGUGAAAAUCACAGCUCCUCCCGGAAUGAGAAGUUGUGUUUUGAAUGAAUCAGUGAACAGCCAUUCCGAAAAAGGCCUCCUGAGUCUUCUGGAUCAAGGCUCGAUGAGUUUUCACUGGAGGGAAUUGAUCUUACAGAAGAUGGACUUAACUCAGGCCUCUUCAGAAUGGACAAAUGAACCUGGAGAAAGACAGUCAAAUCUGUGCAGACAUUAAAGUCCACGUGAACGUGCUGUAUCCCUGAGCCAAAGAUUGGACAUUAGGCAGCACUUCUUGAGGACAGAGGAGUGGUUUUUAAGGUUCUCCAAGAAUGAAUCCCAGGGAACCGGGAUGGCCAGUUGUCAAACUGUGACUUUGCUCUUUGGACGGUGUGCCCACCAAAGGAGAGGAAAACAAGUCUAAACUUACUUUCCAGUUGAAAAUGGAAUGGAGAGUUAACGCUGGAAGCCGGGAGAGUCUUUCCUGUGAUGAAGUGGUCUCCGAGCCACUUCCACUGGGACGUCACGUCACUGUCUGGGCCCCUUGCACAGCCUGUGCACAGGGAGCAGAUUCCUCUGUUUCAGGGAAUACAGGCCUUUCUAGGAAAAGGACAGGAUGAACGUGGAGAGGUGGGGCCGGAGGGGGUCUGGAGCAUCUGCACAGCGCUGCUUCCCUGCAUUUCUGCAUCCGGUCCCAUCAGUGCACGAACGUUCCUAGGAGAGAAUUCAGCAGUGCAGCAUCCUCUCCGAGCUCUAUGAGUUGAUCGGCUUCCACUGCAAGUCCGUCUUCUUCAAGUGGGUGGCCCCCGUGCAGCGCGCGGCCCCCGGCAUCCCGGAGCCUGGCGGGAAGGCCUGCUACCGACUCCUUCUGCAGACGCUUCCUGGCUACAUUCUGUCACUGAUUCUGCAGGACUUCAACAAAGGUUUUGGAACUAAAACAUUGCUUCAGUCCGAUUAACCAUGCCUUGUUUGGGCCCUGCUCUCCUGUCUCAUCAGGGUGAAUUGUGAUUCGUGUAGAACAGGACACAGCAGACUUUUUUCUGUCAAGGGCUUGGGAGUCAAUAUUUCAGGAUCUGCAAACCUCCUAAUCUCUGGUGCAGCUGCUCAGCUCUGCUGUUCAGACGCCAGAGCAGCCGGACAUUCCACACACCCACAGAGCUUUAUUCACAGCAGUGGCUGGGGCUGGAUUGGGUGUAUGAACUGCAGUUUGUCCCCACAGCCUCCUCACUAUUGACGCCUGCACCUGAGCGUGCAUUUGCGACAAUGGGUGAACCUACACUGACACGUCAUCAUCACCAAGAGCCCAUAUUUGACACUAGGAUUUACACUUGGUGGUGUGCACUCUGUGGGUUUGGACAGAUGUAGAAUGACACGUUUCUACCAUCACAGCAUCAUACAGAGUAGUCUGUCUUAGUGACCCUAAAAAUGCUCCGUGCUGCACCUCAUUCAUUACUCCUUCCCCUCUAGCCUCUGACAGCAACUGAUCUUUUAGUCUCUGUGGUUUUGCCUUUCCCAGAACACCAUACAGUUGGAAUCAGACAGUUGCGGAACCUUCCCAGAUUGGCUUCUUUCACUUAGUAAUAUGCAUUUAAGGUUCCUCCAUGUCUUUCCAUGCCUUGAAAACUCAUUUCAUUUUAACACCAUAAAUAGUCCAUUUUCUGCCUGGACCAUAGUUUAUUUAUCCAUUCACCUACUGAAGAACAGCUUAGUUGUUUCUGAGUUCUGGUGAUUAUGAAUAAAGCUGCUAUUAACAUCUGUAUGCAGAUUUGUGUGUGGACGUAAGUUUCCAUUUUGUUCAGUAAACACCAAGGAGCACAGUUGCCAGAUCAUAUGGUAGGAGUACGUUUAGUUUUGUAAAAAAUUGCCAGACCGUCUUCCAAAGUAUCUGGGCCAUUUUUCAUUCCCACCAGCAAUGCAAGAGAA